GUACCACUGACAGCAACAUGCUGGCUUUGCAGAAGAGUAACACAGAGAAAGAGUAGAAUAAGAAAGUCCUCCCGAGCCUGGAUCAAUGAAGGCUACUGUAAAGAGAGAGAGUAAACACAUUAAGCUCUAUGAGUGCUGCGGUUAUGACCUAGAACCCCCGAAAAGGGACUGUCUGCAGAGAUUGUCUGGUUGGUCAAUACCAUGGAGAGGCUGGAAUGUUGCAGAUCCAAAGGCUAAUUACCUUAUCUUGGGCUAGCUUUAGCACCCCAGAGCAGCCAUUCCUUACUUUGUGUUCCGAGCUAACAUCCUGUUACUAACAGAUUAAAGAUCCUUGGAAUCUAUUGACCUCACAGGCCCACUAAGUUCCAUCAACAGAAAAGAGACCACAAGAGUGCACCACCUUUCCUGGAGCUGAAGUUACAGAAGGUUAUGAGCUACUGUGUUGGUUCUGGAAACAAGACCUAGGGUCCUCUGCAAAAGCAGCAGAAUACUUAUUUGCUGAGCACACAACUGCUGAAAUCACUCACUGCUGGAAGUAUUAUCACACAGGACUGACCCCAGCCCAUCCUUUGCCAUCUAAAGCCAACAGCAUAGCUCUACAAACCUUACCAGCUAGCAGUCAGCUUAACACUAUCAGGAUUUCUGUAAGUGUUCUGUUGUUAAAGCCAUAUCCUUGUGGGUUUAAUUACAAAAUAAGCAAGACAGCUUGGGUAAAUACGCUGCAGCAAGAAAUACAGACUCUUCCGCAUGAUGGAUGGUGGUCCUUUUAAAACUCGGCUCCGGGUCCUCUCUCCCACCAGUGUAAGUGGAG